GUUGAGAUUGGUUACAGUUUUAUGUGUGCUAACACAAUUUAUUAUAAUGCCAACAAAAGGGAAGCCACAAAGUGAUUUAGAUAUUCAAAUUCCAAUGAAAGCAAUACAUUAUGACGUACUAAAAGAAAUUCAAGGCACAACGGAACUACCAGACCUAGCCAAAGAUGACAGUGGAAAAAAAGUGCCUGAUUCUGACAGAAAAGUAUUAUUACCCCUCUAGAUACAGAUAUUAACCGAUGUUACAGCAUUUUUAAACAUAUGAUUUUACUCAAUAAUAAUAAUAAUAAAAGUAGUAAUGUAACUAUUAAAGUUGUACACUUAA